rnacentral:misc_RNA from 1 species
GGCACUGGACUGGCGCAUGCGCGGAGAGUAUACGACCACUGAUCACGACAUUACCUGAGAUUUCCUAGUUGAAGGGAUUACCAUGGCGGUGUCCGGAUGUGUGCGGCCAUGCUUCAUCGUAUUCAAUUUCUUGUUUUGGCUGAUGGGGUUGUUCCUCGUGGGUUUCAUUGCCUGGACAAUGGCCACCAACCCAACACUGGUUAGCGGCUUCAUUUCCGGCUCUCGGUACUUUACCUACUCUAUUUUGGGGGCAGGCAUUCUCAUCGUGUUGGCAGGUCUGUUUGGAUGCAUCGGCGGACUGAAAGAAGGGACAUGCCUCCUGAAGACGUUUUUUGUCUUCACCGUCAUCAUCUUCCUGAUUGAGAUAGCCGGUGUCGUGACGGCCUACAUGAUGAGGGAACAGUUACAAGUGUACCGGGAUUCCGGGUGGGCCGACUUCAACACAGACACCAAGAACUUCCUGCAGAAGGAGUUGAAGUGCUGCGGCUUCAACAGCGCGACAGAGUACGGCGCCACCGUGGCCGAUUACCCCGACAGCUGCUUCUCAGACCCUUCUACCAAAACCGUUGCCAAUCAACACAAUGCUGUAUGUUGGGCUAAGAUCAACGAAUGGCUGGACGGCAACUUGCCGAUAUGGGCGGGGACACUGGGCGCUGUGGUGCUUGUGCAGAUCGUGAGCCUGAUCCUGGCUGCAGUGAUUGUGUCAAAGGUCAAGAAAUCCCGCAAGGUGUCGACCACGCCUUCUUACAAAGGCCAAGCGUGGGACGCCCGUCACAACGGGGGUAGACAUGCUGGGCACAGGGGUGGUAGUCGCAGGUACUAGCAGCAAAAACCCGACAAAGAACACAUCAGUUGUCGAUAUAUAAUAUUUCCUGGAAAAAUAUAGUUAUCACGAUGGUAUAUUUUUGGAGUUGAUGUAAAUAUAUAUGCUCUACGAUACACAGAACAGUACACAAUAUUGACAUAGGAGUAACGUUGACUUUUAGUCGUUGAUUGACAUGACGAACCAGUCACAUCCGUCCAUAAUUUAUAAUUUUGAAGAUAUGGUUGGGAGAUGUUGGGAUGAAGGAAGGGCGUGGGUGUAGUUGGGGUUGUUGGUGUGGGGUUGGGGUGGGUGGGGUGGGGGUGGGGUGAGGCUGGGGUGGCGUGGUGCAGCAGAUAGACAAAGGGCUGACGUAUACCAGUUGUGCCUGAAACAGUUGUUGGGUGUUUUGUUGUAAGUUCAGUAAACACCUCUUACCGUGUAUGUAUAUGAUUUAUAUAUCCUCAGUUUAACAUUGGGCUUUGUUAGUUUAUACGUUCUUAGUUUAUGUUUUCGUUCGUUUUACUUGAAUCUGUUUUUUGUGUUAUAUUUUACACAGAAGAUUUUUAAUUAUUGUGCCAAAGCUUUUCGGCUGUCUAGCAACAAUUUACAUGUGUAUUUGUAUAAUCCCUCCAUAUAUAGUGAUACUUUAUUGAGGCAUAAAGGACCUUGUACUGAAGAAAGAUGGUUUCUUUACAACUGAUUUUCGGCCGUCUCAUAGUACUGACGCGUUGUAACCAAAUAUCCAUUACGAUAUAUCCGUCCCUUGGUGUAUAUAUUUUCGAUAUUUAUAUAUUUGUAUAUCUUUCGAUGAAGGGAGACCGUGGAGAAGAUGUCUUGAUAAUGAGGCUGUUUGUACGGGGUCAUGGCCGAGCAUGACUUGUAUGGGCGUGGCCUCGUCAGUUUUCUGCCUCCAUAUUCCAUCCCUAGUAACACGCGCAGUAUGGAUGAGGCAGCUCACUGGUGCCAGUGAUCACUCAACAAGCCAUAGCUGGGUUCGAUGCAAACAUUCUCACUUUGAUAUUAUCUUUCAUAUUUGUUCGUGUCUGCAUUCGAAGAGAAAACUUGCAUAAAUGUAAAAAAGCAUGAAAUCACCUAUGUUUCUUUAAAAAAUAACAAUAUUUUCUUUUUGUGAUGUAAUUCAUACGAUAAAGGUACAUCUGUCUGAGAUCAGCGUUUUCACAUGAAAUGAAUAUGUAAGACUAUUGAUGACAUUUUGUGGAAUAUGUUGUAACGGAAUUAACUUGCUCUACAAAUGUCGUGUUGUUGUUUGGUUUUGUAUAUUACAUUACACGUUAUUCAUUUUCGAAAUUUGUUUUCAAGAGAAAUAAUGUUUGUCGAGACAGCUGAACCAGUAACUACGCCACGGUUAUCUCCCUUGCACUGACUGCUGUUGGCUGGGUGUUAUUACCUCCCUUGUCCUGAACUCUGUUGAUUUGGAUGUUGUUGUUUUGUAAUGACAUUGUACUGAGACCGUAGUUUGAGCUGGCUGUACAAUCAUUCAUGUUUGUGAUAGUAAACCUUAUCUGUUAUUGUGUGUUAUAUUUAGAUGUUGUUUGUGUUUUGCAGAUUGUCAAUUGUAGCAAUAAAUGUAAUUCCAUUUGUAUUUGACUUAACUCAUUUUGAAAACCAUGUCAAAUGAGAAAUAUCAAAAACUCUUCCACAAUUUAAAUGGGUUUGAAUAAAUUAUUUUGUCACUGAA